AGGACAUGGAUAUGGUACGUGUCAGGAUGCAUCAGGACAUGGCCAUUGCACGUGUCAGGACCCGUUAAGACAUGGCAGGGCAUGGCCAUGGCACGAGUCAGGACGUCGCAGGAUGCUUCAAGACAUGGCCAUGGCACGUGUCGGGACAUGGCAGGGUGUGGCCAUGGCACGAGUCAGGACGUCGCAGGACAUGACAGGAUAUGGCCAUGGUAUGUGGCAGGACGUAUCAGGACAUGGCCAUGGGACGACGUCGCACCAAGCCGCACCACGUUGCUCCAAGACGCACCACGUCGUACCACGUCAAUUUCUAGCCAAUGCUUAGAAACAUUUCAUGUGCAACGAUGUUGGUGAUCGUUGGCGGCGGUGGUGGAAAGUCGGGGUGGUUCGAGCGGUAGCGUCCGGCGACGGUCGGUCGACGCUUGGUGGUUGGCGGCGGUUGCUUCAAAUCCUAAUCACUUGUUUUUUUUUGGGCAACAUGUCAAGCGCAAUGAUGUUGGUGGUCGUUGGUGGCGGUAAUGGAAAGUCGCGGUGGUUCGAGCGGUAUCCACCGGCGACGGUUGGUCGACGCUUUGUGGUUGGCGGCGGUUUUUUCAAAUCGGAAUCCCUUGUUGUGGUUGCGACAAUGGAAGUGCCUCGUGCUUAUUGGCGGUUGGUCAUCUAUACACUUUUAUUAUAAUAUUAUUCAUUUUUCCUAUUUUAUAAUAUAUUUUUAGUAAUAUUUAUGCAUUUUUUGUUAUUUUAAAUUAUUUUAUGUCACUUUUUAAUAACAAUAUUUACUCUUUUAUAUGUUAUACUAUUACAAAAUGUUUUGGAAUUUUUCUCCAUCAUUUUUUCUAUUUGUAUAAUAAUUUUCAUAUUUUUUAGUAUUUUAUUACGUAUUUUUUGUUUUUAAAUAUAAAUUUUUCAAAAAAAUAUUAUUUUUUGUAAAAAAUAUAAUUUAGAAUUUAUAAAAGUCAUUUGUGAAUAUAUUAGCCAAGUUGUAGUUUGGUUUGUGCUAUUUGGUGUUGCACAUGUCUAUUAUGAUUCUCUGGCCAAAACAUGUCUACUCCUGAAACGUGGGUUUUUUUAAAUCAUAUAUAAGUGGGGUAGAGGUGUUGAGAGGCACCUCAGGUGCUUGCUACUAGGAAGGUGCAAGCAUGCAUAAGAGACGCUGCAAUGGGACGUGGGCAUUGGGAGAAUGCAUGGCUUGUCCGUGCAACGUCCUCGAUGUUCCCAAACCAGGCCGGCAAGUACUCGUGUGGGCUUUUAGUACGCCUAGUGGUGGCACCGCUCGUGGCAAACAUUGGCUUUUGGCAACGAACGGUGGAGCGCCAUGCUAGUAGCGCCGCCAAGGUGCCGUGCGCAAGGGGCGAAGCUUAGUACUUGUUGAUCGCCAUUGGAUAUUGCGGGAAAAAUUGGGAGGCGACAUCGCUCGUGGCGGCUGAUGGCUUUUGACAACAGAACGGCAAAGCGUCAUGCAAGUAGCACCGCAAGGUGCCGUGCGCAUGGGGCGAAGAUUAGUAAGUUGCUGAUUGCCAUCGGUUCUUGUGGGUUAUGUCUGGAAUCUCUCGUGGCGGCUGAUGGCUUUCGAAGAAGAAGGGCGGAGCUUCGUGCAAGUAGCGCGGCAAGGUGCCGUGCGCAGGGGCGAUGUGCGCAUUGGGCGAGGCUUAGUAAGUUGUUGAUUUCCAUUGGUUGUUGUGGGUUGUGUCUGGUAUCUCUCAUGGCGGCUGAUGGCUUCGACAACGAACGGCGGAGCGUUGUGCAAGUAGCGCCGCAAGGUGCCGUGCGCAUAGGGUGAACCUUAGUAGAUGUCGAUUUCCAUCGGUUGUUGCGGGAAACAUCGCUCAUGGCGGUUGAUGGUUUUCGGUAAUGGAACUGCGGAGCGUUGUGCAAGUAGCGUCGGAAGGUGCCGUGCGCAUGGGCGAAGCUUAGUAAGUUACCAAUUGCCAUCGAUUGUUGUGGGUAGUCUCUGUAAACCCCCCUCCAUGGCGGCUUAUGGAUUUUGACAAUGAACGACGGAGCAUCGUGCAAGUAGCGCCUCAAGGUGCCGUGCGCACGAGGCGAAGUGCAGUAGAUGUUCAUUGCAAUCAGUUGUUGCGAGAAAUAUCGGGAGGCGACAUCGCUCGUGGCGGCUGAUGGCUUUUGGCAACAAAAUGGAAAAGCAUCGUGCAAGUAGCGCCGCAAGGUGCCAUGCGCACGGGGUGAAGCUUAGUAAGUUGAUGAUUGCCAUCGGUUGUUUGCGGGCAACAUUGGGAGGCGACAUCGCUCGUGGAGGCUGAUUGUUUUUGGCAACAAAAUGGCAAAGCAUCGUGCAAGUAGCGUUGCAAGGUGGCAUGCGCACGAAGCGAUCCAUGCGCACAGGGCGAAGCUUAGUGAGUUGCUGAUUGCCAUCGGUUGGUACGGGCAACAUCGAGAGGCGACAUCACUCGUGGCGGCUGAUGGCUUUUGGAAACAAAAUGGCAAAACAUCGUGCAAGUAGCGCCGCAAGGUGCCGUGCACACGGGGCGAAGAUUAGUAUGUUGCUGAAUGCCAUCGGUUGUUGUGGGCAACAUUGGGAGGCGACAUUGCUCGUGGCGGCUAAAGGCUUUUGGCAACAAAAGGGCAAAACAUCGUGCAAGUAGCGCCUCAAGGUUCCAUGCUCACGGGGCGAAGCUUAGUAAGUUGCUGAUUGGCAUCAGUUGUUGCAGAAAACAUCGGAGGGCGACAUCGCUCGUGGAGGCUUAUGGCUUUUCGCAAUGGAACGGCAAAGCAUCGUGCAAGUAGCUUCUCUAGGUGUCGUGCGCACAGGGCAUAGCUUAGCAAGUUGCCGAUUUCCAUCAGUUGUUCCGGGCAACAUCGGGAGGCGACAUCGCUUGUGGCGGCUGAUGGCUUUUGGCAACAAAAUGGCAAAGCAUCGUGCAAGUAGCGCCGCAAGGUGCUGUGCUCACGGGGAAAAGCUUAGUAAGUUGUUGAUUGCCAUCAGUUGUUGCAGGAAACAUCAGAAGGCGACAUCGCUCGUGACGCCUGAUGGCUUUUCGCAAUGGAACGGCAAAGCAUUGUGCAAGUAGCGCUGUAAGGAUCCAUGCGCAUGGGGCGAAGCUCAAUAAAUUGCCUAUUGCCAUCAAUUAUUGUGGGUUGUGUCUGGCAUUGUUCAAACCCCCUAAUCAUGCUUUGCAGGGCUUGUCUUGGCUUUGCAAUGUUGGCAUCGGCAACAACACAUGGCUGCGCGUCACGUGUUGGGGCUGGUGUUGGCUUUGUAUCGGCGAGGCAAGUGUACGUGCGGCACAUGAGUGGUGUUUGGCUUGUGUGGCUAGGUUGGAUCCCUGCUCGAGCAGCGACGUCCUAGAUCGCAUGACAUCUCAGUCAUGUCACAAGCGCAAAUUAGGCCUGUUUGACGUCGGUUUUCUAUGUUGCAUACCUAAUGUCAAGGCAUUAUCAAGCACAAUUGGUCGCAUUUUGCCCCGCGCGUUCAAUGUGCGGGGACAACCAAAAGCUGCAGUUGUGUCCCAGGUCGUCCUGGCUUUGCCUUGCGAUGGCUUGGUCCACGACUUAGCAUGCUCGGGCUCUCGGAUUUGGUAAACGCAAUGGCACGUGGCCUUCAUUGGCUCCUAUCUACCCAAAGAAUACUUCUUACAAAUGAUGGUUGCGCUUGCCUUGGACUUGGUCGUGCCCUUUUGGGUCGGCCACGCUCAUGCGACGCCGCCUUCAAUGAGGAAUUCUACCUGGUUAAUCCUGCCAGUAGUCAUAUGCUUGAAAGGGGCCUUCAUUGGCUCCUAUCUUCCCAAAGAAUGCUCCUUACAAGUGAUGGUCGUGCUCGCCUUGGACUUGGCCGUGCCGUUUUGGGUUGGCCACGCUCAUGCGACACCAGCGUCAAUGAGGAAUGCUACCUGGUUGAUCCUGCCAGUAGUCAUAUGCUUGUCUCAAAGAUUAAGCCAUGCAGACACCAGCGCGGCCGCAUGCCAUUUCUGUGCGGUCCGCACUAGAGCCACGCGACGCAAGGCACUUCUGUGUGGUCCGCAUGGCUGAGUCUGACCAGGAGAUUUUGGCCUGAGCAGCGCCACCGCACACCAAAUCAGUGCGGUCCACGCUGGGAUGGUUCAGAGGGACCCGAACUUUCCCCCACUCGGUGCGGCCGCAACACUUUUUUGUGCGCGUGCAACAAAACCCGGCUUCUGGAAGGGAUGCAUUUAUUAGAUAAAAGGUCGACGCGGGCUCUGCCUGUUGUUGCGAUGAUUCAUGAUAACUCGACGGAUUGUACGUCCAUCGUGCCGGCGACACAUCAUUCAAAUUUCUUCCCUAUCAACUUUUGAUGGUAGGAUAGUGGCCUACCAUGGUGGUGACGGGUGAUGGAGAAUUAGGGUUUGAUUCCUGAGAGGGAGCCUGAGAAACGGCUACCACAUCCAAGGAAGGCAGCAGGCGUGCAAAUUACCUAAUCCUGACACGGGGAAGUAGUGACAAUAAACAACAAUACCGGGCUUUAUGAGUCUGGUAAUUGGAAUGAGUACAAUCUAAAUCCCUUAAUGAGGAUCCAAUGGAGGGGAAGUCUGGUGCCAGCAGUCGCGGUAAUUCCAGCUCCAAUAGCGUAUAUUUAAGUUGCUGCAGUUAAAAAGCUCAUAUGGAGGGGAAGUCUGGUGCCAGCAUCCGCGAUAAUUACAACUCCAAUAGCGUAUAUUUAAGUUGUUGUAGUUAAAAAGCUCGUAGUUGGACUUUGGGAUGGGCCGUUUAGUCCACCUUAGGUGUGCACUGGUCGUCUCGUCCCUUCUGCCGGCGAUGCGAUCCUGGCCUUAAUUGGCCAGGUCGUGCCUCCAGUGCUGUUACUUUGAAGAAAUUAAAGUGCUCAAAGCAAGCCUAUGAUCUGUAUACAUUAGCAUGGGAUAACAUUAUAGGAUUUCGGUCCUAUUACGUUGGCCUUCGGGAUCAGAGUAAUGAUUAACAAGGACAGUCAGGGGCAUCCAUAUAUCAUAGUCAGAGGUAAAAUUCUUGGAUUUAUGAAAGACGAAAAACUGCGAAAGAAUUUGCCAAAGAUGUUUUUGAUUAAUCAAGAAUGAAAGUUGGGGGCUCGAAGACGAUCAGAUACCGUCCUAGUCUCAACCAUAAACGAUGGCGACCAGGGAUCGGCGGAUGUUGCUUUUAGGACUCCGCCGGCACCUUAUGAGAAAUCAAAGUUUUUGGGUUCCGGGGGGAGUAUGUGAAGACGAUCAGAUACCGUCCUAGUCUCAACCAUAAACGAUGCCGACCACGGAUCUGCGGAUGUUGCUUUUUGGACUCCGCCGGCACCUUGUGAGAAAUCAAAGUUUAUGGGUUCCGGGGGGAGUAUGGUUGCAAGGCUGAAUUUUAUAGGAAUUGACGGGAGGGCACCACCAGGAGUGGAUCCUGCGGCUUAAUUUGACUCAACACGGGGAAACUUACCAGGUCCAAACAUAGUAAGGAUUGACAGACUGAGAGCUCUUUCUUGAUUAUAUGGGUGGUGGUGCAUGGCCGUUCUUAGUUGGUGGAGCGAUUUGUCUGGUUAAUUCCGUUAACGAACGAGACCUCAGCCUGCUAACUAGCUAUGCAAAGGUAUCC
rnacentral:lncRNA from 1 species